CAUCACCAUCCGAGGAUGCUAUUCAGUGACAUCUUCACGUGAAAUUAAAGAACGGAAUGAAACCAUAUUUCUUGUGGAGAUUGUUGAAGACACAGAGAGAUCAUUUCCGGAAAAAAAUGCAAUGUCUUAUGUGAAGAAUUAAAAUAAGGACAAUUAAAAGAAUAAGGAUCCAUAGUUAAAGAAGACCUGCUGUGACACAUUCCUAGUGAACAGCGAAAAAAGAAAAUUCAAUAGAGAAAAGAAAGCAGUAUCGUGAUUUAAUCACGUUUUUCGGAUUGAAAAUGGACAGUACUAGAACUUUAAAGAAAAAUCACUGUCUCCAUGAAGCAUGGGAUAUUUGAGCAAAAACAGUGCUGUGCUGAUUUUUAAAAAGAGCAUCAAACUUGAUUAGCAGAUUUCUAACUGAUAAUCUAAAUGUUGCCUUGUCAACUACUAUUGUAAAUACUUCCUAAAUAUAAUUAAUAAAUUUACAAUGAUUUA